ensembl:lncRNA
AUGGCCGCGCCCAGGGGGCACGCCCACGGGAAAAAAUGUCAACAAGCCCGACUGGUGCAGGUGAGCGAGCGGAAGAGGCCCGAAAAAAAGUCUGAGCUGUUUAUUCAAACACAUUCACGAGGAAAUGAGUCCAACUGCUCUCAGAUUUACAGGCGCACACACACACACACACACACACACACACACACACACACACACACACAGGGCCUGUUGUUGACCCCUGACCUCUUGCUGCUGCUAGUUUAUUUUGAAAAGGCAGCGCUGUGGUAAAUUGAGCAUAUGGUUAGCGUGGUGGCGUAUUGGAUGACUUGGGGAACGUGUUGCAACAGCGGACCGAAUAAAACCAGAAAGACUUUCAACAGUGAAAGUGUAGCAACGCGUUUAAAAGGCCGUUUGCACAAAGUGAAAAGAAGAAGUUGCUCCAGAAAAGAGUGAAACAGGAAGGAAAGAACGAGACGACGAGGGAGCGGCUCUCGCUUUCCACACAGCUAAUUUACUAGUUACUGCUUAAUUUAAACUGAUCUCUCUCUAUCCCAACACGCAUGCACACGCACGCACACGCACGCACACGCACAUGCACACUUUUAGCCUCGCGUGCGAACUUUCAAUUCCCGACAUCCUGAGCUGAGAAAGGAGAGGAAGGCGGGGAAAAAGACAAGGAGAGAGAGGGAAAACAUUAAGUAUGAUUAUGUGUGUGUGUGUGUGUGUGUGUGUGUGUGUGUGUGUGUGCAUUUGAGCCACACACAAACACACACACACACACACACACACACAAUGUAAACGGCUGCCAAAGCGUCUGAUAUGCCUUCAUGGCUUUUGCGUGAUCACAUGCUCCCUGUUGUUGUCCAGUAGGGGGGGGUGAGGAAGUGGGGGGGGGACGUGUUUGUGGAGGACGAGGAGGUGAGGACGGGGGACAUAAUGUGGCCCCGGUGCUCUUAUCACCGCUGUCCUUCCGUGGAACCAUUAGGACAGGAAACUAUUCCUCAACACGCACACGCACACGCACGCAGGAACAUGGGAGUGAGGUCCGUCUGCACCAGACCUGGUUCAAAAAAGGAGGAAUUUAAGAGACACACCUUUGUAUUGUAACUGGUAUGACAGACGCACUGCAGCCUCACACAGAACAAAGUGAUGGUAAAAAACUGUAUUAGACUUUCCUCUUAACCCACAUUCGUCUUACAGUAACGCAAAACUUAAAGUGAGACCCGAGGAGCUUCACUGGUUGUUGUUGUUGUUGUUGUUGUUAGCUGAUUAGACUCUGUGAGGGAGAAAAAACAACUUUGCUGAAUUAGACGCUUCUUUAAAGGAGUUUUCUUUUCUAUUCUUCUAAGUUGUGUCAUCGGCGGGACAGGAGCGCGGCCUGGCAGGCCCGUUGUUUCCCUCGCCGCUGACUGGCGUCUGGGCGCGCGGCCAGCAGGGCUGCGUGUGGAGUUUAUUUAGACAAGAGGGGGGGGGGGGGGGUUGUUGUUCAGGCCUGAGGGAUCAUUUCUGCUGCGGAGAAGAAGGAGGUCUCACUCCUGUCAGAACUUUAAGGAGAAGCAGUCCAGCUGAGAGAAUCUUUUAUAAACUGUGUGUGUGUGUGUGUGUGUGUGUGUGUGCGUGAGCCAGAUAGAGUUUACAUAGACACUCGACACUUUGGCACACAAAGGUUUGCACCUGCAUGCUGCUGCACACGGAAACACACACAUGCAUAGAAGCAUGCAUGAAGUAGGUUUGCACACAAGACACAUGUACAAAAAUACACACAAGUGAAAAGAAUAUGCACACAUGCAAAAACAAACAGGACCGUGUUCGCUCGGCUCCUGUCAGAGGGGUGUGUGUGUUGGUGUGUGUUACACAGACACACUAUCAGUGGGAUCAGAGGAGUCGGCUCAAUCUAACGUGUUUUCCUGCAGUGUGUCUGAUCACGACUGAGGGAUAAGAUCUCUCUUCAUCUCUUGUUGCCAGUAAACCAGUUUCAUGUGUGUGUGUGUAUACGUAAAUAUCUACCUGCUCUAAAGCACAAUUACACAACAUUUCAAACUAAACUCAAGCAUGAAAAAACAAACAAAGGGAAGUUUUGUGGAAACUUGUGAGCCGAUGAGUCAGAGGAAAGCGACCUCUGCUUCAUGACGUCGUCACCAUUGACAUCCAGUGAUCUGUGAGGUGGACUCUAUCUAUAGAUCUGUAGAUCAAUAGAUUCACACUUACCAACCUUAUAAGGUCUAUACGGGAUAUCAAAUGUAGUUCGACAACGGUGGUGUGGAAAAGCUUUAAGACUUAAAUCGAUCCACAGGGAUCAUUAAACUCCCUUAUUUUGUUGUUAUUGUUGUACUUGCAGAAACUUCUAAACUUUACAGAUCAACAGGAGAAAAACAUAUCGAGCCAAACUCGCACUGCGACACGUCGUCUUGCACCUUAAAACCCUCAAACCAGCGCCUCUCUUUCCAGAGGUGGCGGCCUGUGCUGCGGGCGCCACGAGGCGGAAGUGGUAGCACUUGGUUGCCGCAGUGGUGACACACGCACACACACACACACACACACAGACACACACACACACACACAACCCUAACCCUACAACCCCUGUUAGUGCACUGAGUACUCACUAGUACUACAACCCCUGUUAGUGCACUGAGUACUCACUAGUACUACAACCCCUGCUAGUGCACUG